CAGCCCCAAUCGGGCGGUA
rnacentral:snRNA from 1 species